GUUGAUAGAGGCGCGAAGAGAAAAAGUAAUUGCCAGAGGGGGCGCCCGGGGAAGGCAGUGAAAGGUCGAUUCGCCGAAACGGUUGGUCCGGCGGGACGAAUCAGUUGGGCAUGGGAAAAAUAUUUCCAUGACUCCUGCUUCAGGCUUCUGAGGUGGA
rnacentral:ncRNA from 1 species